GACGAACGCUGGCGGCGUGCUUAACACAUGCAAGUCGAACGGAGUGGGGAGCGGGGGAGUAACACGUGGGUGUCCUCCCCCGCACUUCGGGAUAAGCCUGGGUAACAGGGUCUAAUACCGGAUAGUGUGGGAUGGGCGCGUGGGCUAUCAGCUUGUUGGUGGGGUAAUGGCCUACCAAGGCGGCGACGGGUAGCCGGCCUGAGAGGGUGGACGGCCCCAAGACGACUAAGGCACGGCGCAGACUGCUACUGGAGGCAGCGGUGGAAAAUAUUACGCAGUAAGCGCGCGCCUGAUGCGAAGGCGCCGGGUGGGGAAUGACGGCCUUCGAGUUAUGAACUCCUUUCACCAUCGACGCGGUAGAUGGAGAAGAAGCACCGGCUAACUACGUGCCAGCAGCCGCGGUAAUAC
rnacentral:rRNA from 1 species